rnacentral:rRNA from 1 species
GACAGAGGGUGCAAACGUUGUUCGGAAUUACUGGGCGUAAAGCGCGUGUAGGCGGCCCUGCAAGUCGGGUGUGAAAUCCCACGGCUCAACCGUGGAAGUGCACUCGAAACUGCAGGGCUAGAGUCCUGGAGAGGAAGGUGGAAUGCUUGGUGUAGAGGUGAAAUUCGUAGAUAUCAAGCGGAACACCGGUGGCGAAGGCGGCCUUCUGGACAGUGACUGACGCUGAGACGGCGAAAGCGUGGGGAGCAAACAGGG